AGCGAACGCUGGCGGCAGGCUUAACACAUGCAAGUCGAACGGGCACUUCGGUGCUAGUGGCAGACGGGUGAGUAACGCGUGGGAACGUGCCUUUCGGUUCGGAAUAAUCCAGGGAAACUUGGACUAAUACCGGAUACGCCCUUCGGGGAAAGAUUUAUCGCCGAAAGAUCGGCCCGCGUCUGAUUAGCUAGUUGGUGAGGUAAAGGCUCACCAAGGCGACGAUCAGUAGCUGGUCUGAGAGGAUGAUCAGCCACACUGGGACUGAGACACGGCCCAGACUCCUACGGGAGGCAGCAGUGGGGAAUAUUGGACAAUGGGCGAAAGCCUGAUCCAGCCAUGCCGCGUGAGUGAUGAAGGCCUUAGGGUUGUAAAGGCUCUUUUGUCCGGGAAGAGUAAUGACUGUAACCGGAGAAGAAGCCCCGGCUAACUUCGUGCCAGCAGCCGCGGUAAU
rnacentral:rRNA from 1 species